AGAGUUCAAAUGAGUCUCAAGGAUCCUAGGCAGUGCUCACACUAGGGUGGUUGAGAACCUAAGAGACUAAGAGUAUAUAAAGAGAGAAGGGCCAGGUUUUUAAAAUAUAUUGGAUUCCAAAUGAAUAGGAUUCAAAACUACAGAAUCCAUUCAUUCUUAAACUACAGAAUUCAUUCAUUCUUAUAGAAUUCAUUCUUAAACACAUAGUUGAAAUAAGUUGAAGUCAAGUUAAGUUAUAUACUUAUGCUAGUAUUCAAAACAGUUACGGCUUAAUCACAGAAGAAAUGAGGCAAAAAUAUUUGAGUUGAACAAACAUGGUAUAUGAGCUAAGCAACAAGCUAACUUAUUACAUGUCUAUAGUGCAAAGUUCAGAACAAGUAGAGGAAUAACAAGUAAUACAUGAAACAAGUUAACCUUAGGCUAACUCAUUAGAAGAUUUACAUUAUUUGAAACCAAUUAAUUCUAGGUUAAAAGUGUUACUAAAUGGAACUACACAAUCAGGUGAAGGACAGAGUCAUGUAGAGAAUUGAAACAGGCUAGUCAAGAAAAACCUAGAGGAUGGAAUUUGCAAAGGAUAUGGCAUACGAGUUAAGUGAGCAAACAAGUAAGUAUACCACAACAAUGAAGUUCAAGAAUAAUAUUAUCCUAGGCUUUCAGCCGGCCAAAAUCAAGAGACACUUAGAAAAGAAAUCAUAACUAGAUAGAAAGAGAGAGCUUGAGCUUUUUAGUGAGAAUCAGAGAGUUCGAGUCUUGUCUUAAGGGGAGACGGGAGAGGGGUUUAAAUAGUACUCAACUAGGUAGAUAAAAAAGGUAAUGAAUCAGUCUUAAGGAAUGGGAAUAACUUUGAAAUCAAUAAAAGUCGGAGUUCAACUAAUUAGCAGCAUAUAAUCAGGCCAGUACCACUUAAAUUAGGGAAAUCAUUAUACAAAAUCAAUCAGUAAUCAAGUACCAGAACAAGUAAAGUAAAUACAUAACGAGAAUAGAUAAAUCAGACAAGAUAAGGAAAUAUCAGAACCAUACAUGAGAGGAAAGGCUGAAAUCUUAGCAAGGAUUUCAAAACCCUAAUUUAGGGUGAGUAAAAUUAGUCAACUAGUUAACGACAAGAUUUAGAGGUGCAUAGAGACAUAUAGACAGAAACAUUAGAGGAAAACACCAAAUACUGACAACCCUAGAUUUAAUAUGUGUAAAAAAAGGCAGAAAUAUAAAAUAGCUUUAUUAAAAAUGCAAAAUGACAUAUAGACGGAAAUAAUUAGGGUAAGUGAAAGGAAUUAAAAACACGGAGAUAGAUAUUCAGAAACAUUCAAGAAAAAAUGCUGAAAAAAUAACAAAUCAUUUUAGAUUCUGGAAAGAUCGUGAACCCUAGUUUUAGGGUAAGUAAAACAAUUCAACUAAAAUAUAUGGAUUUGUGAGUAAUAGAGAAAAUAUAGAUGGUGAAUAAUCAUAAAACAAGUAGUAAUCGGACCAAAUCUGGUCUGAAUCAAAAUUUGAAACCUUAACUGACAGAUACGAAAAUAUUCGAACAUACAGAGGUUACGAUGGACACAGACAUAAACAACCAAAAUAUAAGAGAUUUUGAACCACAUCCAGUUUGAAUCUCUCGAGAUUAACUUGCCAUUUCACGCAAGCCGAUCAAGUAAUAUAAAAAGCGAGUAGCUGGAAAAGAGGUAAGACCAGAUAUGGUAAGGAAUCAAAGAAUGAUUCUAUUUCCAGAUAGGAAUCAUAGGAGAAUGGUGACAGUAGGUUAGGGUUUGAGAGGUGACAGAGAGAUGAGAGGAC
rnacentral:lncRNA from 1 species